rfam:Capsicum annuum cultivar Zunla-1 chromosome 4, whole genome shotgun sequence
UGAUGGUGAUGUAGGCAAUCUCUCAAGUAUCCCUUGUAUCUCUCCCAAGCUUAGGGAAGGGAUUCAAUGUCUUUCUAAACAAAUUCAGAAAUAUUAUUUCUAAAAUA